rnacentral:rRNA from 1 species
CCUACGGGGGGCAGCAGUGGGGAAUUUUGGACAAUGGGCGAAAGCCUGAUCCAGCCAUGCCGCGUGUGUGAAGAAGGCCUUCGGGUUGUAAAGCACUUUCAGUGGGGAAGAAAGCCUUGGGGCUAAUACCCUCGAGGAAGGACAUCACCCACAGAAGAAGCACCGGCUAACUCCGUGCCAGCAGCCGCGGUAAUACGGAGGGUGCGAGCGUUAAUCGGAAUUACUGGGCGUAAAGCGCGCGUAGGCGGUCUGAUAAGCCGGUUGUGAAAGCCCCGGGCUCAACCUGGGAACGGCAUCCGGAACUGUCAGGCUAGAGUGCAGGAGAGGAAGGUAGAAUUCCCGGUGUAGCGGUGAAAUGCGUAGAGAUCGGGAGGAAUACCAGUGGCGAAGGCGGCCUUCUGGACUGACACUGACGCUGAGGUGCGAAAGCGUGGGUAGCAAACAGGAUUAGAUACCCCUGUAGUC